rnacentral:rRNA from 1 species
GCCUCCUUUCGGAACAGAAUGACAGGUGGGGCAUGGGUGUCGUCAGCUCGUGUCGUGAGAUGUUGGGUUAAGUCCCAUAACGAGCGCAACCCUUAUUGUUAGUUGCCAGCAUUUAGUUGGGCACUCUAGCGAGACUGCCGGUGAUAAACCGGAGGAAGGUGGGGAUGACGUCAAAUCAUCAUGCCCCUUAUGAGCUGGGCUACACACGUGCUACAAUGGACGGUACAACGAGUGGCGAGAGCGCGAGCGUUAGCGAAUCUCUAAAAACCGCUCUCAGUUCGGGAUUGUUGGUCUGCAACUCGCCUGCAUGAAGCCGGAAUCGCUAGUUAAUCGCGGAUCAAAAAUGCCGCCGGUGAAUACGUUCCCCGGGUCUUGUUACACAACACCACAAAAA